AUAAAAGCCAACCUAUUGUAAGAUUUGGGCUCCUCAGUCUUCGCUAGGGUUUACAGAAGAGGAAUAGCUCUCCCGUUUUCGACUCCAUCUCAAUUCUUCUUCAAAAUGAUUAUCUCAGAGAAGAACCGUCGUGAGAUAUCAAAGUAUCUCUUCCAAGAGGGAGUGUGCUACGCCAAGAAGGAUUACAAUCUGGCCAAGCACCCAGAAAUUGAUGUGCCAAACCUUCAGGUGAUCAAGCUCAUGCAGAGCUUUAAAUCUAAGGAGUAUGUGCGGGAAACUUUUGCUUGGAUGCACUACUACUGGUACCUCACAAACGAUGGUAUCGAGUUCCUCAGGAACUAUCUCAAUCUCCCUUCUGAGAUUGUCCCUGCUACCUUGAAGAAGCAGGCCAAGCCCGCUGGGAGGCCUUUGGGAGGCCCUGGUGGUGACCGCCCACGUGGCCCACCGCGCUUUGAUGGAGAACGUAGAUUUGGUGGUGACCGAGAUGGGUACCGUGGAGGUCCUCGUGGUCCUCCUGGUGAGUUUGGUGACAAAGCUGGAGCUCCCGCUGAUUACAGGCCUUCUUUUGGGGGUCCUGGCGGAAGACCUGGUUUUGGUCGUGGUGCUGGUGGUUUUGGUGCAGGGCCAGCUAGCUCUGAUCUUUCUUAAAUAGGAAUUCCAUCUCCGUCUUGUAAGGUUGAAGAAUUAAGAGUUGAGAGUUUGAAGAAUGGGGAUAUAUAGCAUUUGUCCAUGGAUUUUCCUAUCAGGUUCUGCAAGAAUAAAGUUGCUGACUUUAUUAUUUUACAGUUAUUCUAAGCCAAAUGUGAGAAAGCCUAGCCAACUAAAAAUUUGUAAAUUAGUUUGCUAGCUAUGAGGUUAAUGAUAGAGAAUGACAUGAUUUUUUUUUUUCAAAUUUGUUUAAUUAGCUUAUUAUUGUCCAAUACUCGUAUGUUUCUAUUUUAAUAAUUAAAAGUGGAUAUAAUAGCAGCUCCUCAACUGUAUUUUUAUCCUCAUUAAUAUUAUUUUUUAUAUUAAAUAA